rnacentral:tRNA from 1 species
GGGCGGUUAGUUCAGUUGGUCAGAACAUCUGGCUUACACCCAGGAGGUCGCUGGUUCGAGUCCAGCACCGCCCACCA